CGUUGCCGACACGCACAUGCGUUCCACUAUGCGGAUGAGCGCACCAACGAGAGCGAAUGACGUCAUCAAUAGUCGCCAGUGCCGAAUAUUUUGUCCGUCUUGUUUUGUGUGCGGGGAAGCGGUGUACGUUUUACUGACGCGUUAUAGUCUUCCCCUGUCUUUCCUGCAUGACGUCCAGAGCGCGGCUGGCGUAUCCGAGAACCGUAGGUGUCAUCCAGUAUGGACGGAAUAGAAGCGUGGGUGAAGGAGCGGCUCCACGAUGUCCUGGGAAUGAGCGAUCGCCACGUGGCGCAAUUCCUUGUCGGCAUCGCCCGGCGCAGUUCAAACACUGCAGACUUUCUGAGUCGUCUAAAUGACACAGGAGCCAUUGACAUGACGGACAAAGUGCGCACCUUCGCAGAGGAGCUGUGGGGGAAGCUGCCCCAUAAAGCCCCGGUUGAGCGUCCGGCCAGAGCUGCCGAGCGAGAGGCUUUAGCACUGCAGCAGAAAAACAAAUCCUAUGCUCUGCUGGAAGACAGCGACGAGGAAGAGGAGGAGAAGGUGGCAAGCAAAGACGAGAAGAAGAGGAAAAAGAAACAUCUGAGGAAGAGGAGGAAAGAGGAAUUGUCUGACAGCGAAAGUGACCGAGCACAAAAUGAGAAGGCGCCAUCGCCGCAGGUCAUCUCUGACGAUGAGGAGGAGCGGGAAGAGCAGGCCAGGUUGAAGGACCUUGAAGAGAGAGAUGCGUUUGCGGAGAGGGUAAAACUUCGAGAUAAAGAAAAGACCAGGAACAUUGUAGAGAGGUCUGACAAAAAGGCUUAUGAAGAAGCGCAAAAGAGACUCAAACUGGCAGAGGAGGAUCGUAAACAAAUGAUUCCAGAGUUGCGGAAAAAGUCCCGCAGAGACUAUCUUGGGAAGAGAGAAAAGGAAAAGCUUGAGGACCUGGAAGCCGAGAUAGCGGAUGAAGAGUAUUUCUUCGCAGACAGCAGGUUGACGGCGGCCGAGAGGAAAGACCUUGAAUACAAGAGGAAAGUCAGGGAUUUGGCCAAAGACUACAAGAAAGCCGGGGAGAAGGAACGCAUGGAAAAACAUGACCGAUAUUUCAUGCCUGAGGAGAGUCGGAGUAAAAAAAUUCCAGACCGGUACGAGGAACCAAUAAGCGAAGAACGUUUUGCCCCUCGGGAAGAACAGAGACGAUGGGAGGAGGAACACAUCGGUGCUGCGGCUUUGAAAUUUGGAGCCAAAGACGCCCACGCUCGCGGUCAGAAGGAAUACGACUACGUGAUGGAGGAAGACGAGAUCAUACAGUUUGUCAGCGCCACACAGAUUAAAGGGACCGUGGAGAAGGAAGAUGAGAAUACUAAACAAUUGUCUGAGCUGGAGAAGCAGAAAUUGUCCAUCCAGGAGGUGAGGCGCAGUCUGCCUGUCUUCCCCUACCGUUCAGACCUUCUACAAGCUAUUGCUAAUCAUCAGGUCCUUAUCAUUGAGGGGGAGACUGGUUCUGGCAAGACAACUCAGAUCCCCCAGUACCUGCAUGAAGAAGGUUAUACUUCUAAGGGAAUGAAGGUCGGGUGCACUCAGCCAAGGAGAGUGGCUGCAAUGAGUGUAGCUUCUCGUGUGGCUCAGGAAAUGGCUGUGAAAUUGGGCAAUGAGGUCGGAUACAGCAUUAGGUUUGAGGACUGCACCUCGGAGCGCACAGUCCUGAAGUACAUGACGGACGGCAUGUUGCUUCGUGAGUUUCUCACUGAGCCAGACUUGGCCAGUUACAGUGUGAUUAUUAUAGACGAGGCUCAUGAGCGAACCCUACACACGGAUGUGCUCUUUGGCCUUAUUAAAGACAUUGCUCGUUUCCGCCCAGACCUCAAGGUCCUAGUGUCCAGUGCAACUCUCAACACAGAGCGCUUUUCUUCCUUCUUUGAUGAUGCUCCCAUAUUCCGAAUCCCUGGCCGACGGUAUCCAGUAGACAUUUACUACACCAAGGCACCAGAGGCUGAUUACUUGGAGGCAUGUGUGGUGUCUGUCCUGCAGAUUCACGUCACACAGCCGACUGGAGACAUCUUGGUGUUUUUGACUGGACAGGAGGAGAUUGAGGCAUGCUGUGAAAUGUUACAAGAGCGCUGUCGUAGGCUGGGAUCCAAAAUUGCAGAGAUGCUGAUUUUACCAAUCUAUGCCAACCUACCAUCUGACAUGCAGGCCAAGAUAUUUGAUCCUACUCCACCUGGAGCUAGAAAGGUUGUUGUAGCCACUAACAUCGCGGAGACAUCGCUGACCAUAGAUGGGAUCAUUUACGUCAUUGACCCUGGGUUCUGCAAGCAGAAAAGCUACAAUGCCCGUACUGGAAUGGAGUCCCUCAUUGUCACUCCCUGCUCAAAGGCGUCAGCCAACCAAAGAGCAGGGAGAGCCGGCCGUGUUGCUGCAGGGAAGUGUUUCCGACUAUAUACAGCUUGGGCAUACAAAAAUGAAAUGGAAGAUACAACUGUGCCAGAAAUCCAGAGAAGCAACCUGGGAAAUGUGGUUCUGCUGCUGAAGAGUUUAGGUAUUAAUGAUCUCAUUCACUUCGACUUCAUGGACCCACCACCCCAUGAGACACUGGUUCUGGCGCUGGAGCAGUUGUAUGCACUUGGGGCCCUUAACCAUCUUGGAGAACUUACCAAGCUCGGGAGGAGAAUGGCUGAGCUCCCAGUGGAUCCCAUGUUAUCUAAGAUGAUUCUGGCGUCUGAGAAGUAUGGCUGUUCGGAGCAGAUCCUGACCAUCGCCGCCAUGUUGUCUGUAAAUAAUGCAAUCUUCUAUCGACCAAAGGACAAGCUGGUUCAUGCUGACACCGCACGCGCCAACUUUACUGUGCCUGGGGGAGACCACAUGGUACUGCUCAAUGUCUACACACAGUGGGUGGAGACGGGACACUCUCUGCAGUGGUGUUAUGAGAACUUUAUUCAGGCUCGUUCCCUCCGUCGCGCUCGUGAUGUCCGGGAGCAGCUCGAAGGGCUCAUGGCACGGAUAGAAAUUGAGUUGACAUCCUGCGAAGGGGACAUUGUGCCAAUCCGCAAGGCAGUCACAGCAGGUUAUUUCUACCACACUGCCAGGCUCACCCGCAGUGGAUACAAGACCGUAAAGCAACAACAGUCAGUAUUCAUACACCCGAACAGCAGCCUACACGAGGAGCAGCCCCGCUGGGUCAUAUACCAUGAGCUGGUAUUCACCACCAAGGAGUUUAUGAGACAGAUCAUUGAGAUAGACAGCGGCUGGCUCCUCGAAGUGGCUCCACAUUAUUACAAGUCCAGAGAACUGGAAGAUGCCAGCAGCAAGAAGAUGCCUAAACAAGCUGGAAAGAGCAAAGAGGAACUUGGCUAAAGGUCGGCCAUGUUUUAGUUUUAGGACUCAGGGUCAGAGUGUCUCCCCCUACAGCGACAUGCUGUUUACCAGGAAGAGCACAGAUUAGACUGAGACUCCAUCUUAUAUACACCUCCCUUCCCUGCUGCCUCAUUACUUAAGAAGCAGGAAGAAGGGCCGGAGGUGGAGAUGACUGGUCACUCUGCAGCCUGUUGUUGGAUUCUAUUUAACAUAUUUCUGUACAGCUCUUGUAUAUAAAAGUUGUCAUUUUUGGA